GACGAACGCUGGCGGCGUGCCUAAUACAUGCAAGUCGACCUUAGGGGCGAACGGGUUAGUAACAAGUGGGUAACCUGCCCAGCAGGAGGGGAUAACACUUGGAAAAAGGUGCUAAUACCGUAUACUGAAGGAUGGACCCGCGGUGCAUUAGCUAGUUGGUGAGGUAACGGCUCACAAAGGCCAAGAUGCAUAGCCGACCUGAGAGGUUGAUCGGCCACAUUGGGACUGAGACACGGCCCAAACUCCGACGGGAGGCAGCAGUAGGGAAUCUUCGGCAAUGGACGAAAGUCUGACCGAGCAACGCCGCGUGAGUGAAGAAGGUUUUCGGAUCGUAAAACUCUGUUGUUAGAGAAGCGGUAUCUAACCAGAAAGCCACGGCUAACUACGUGCCAGCAGCCGCGGUAAUUC
rnacentral:rRNA from 1 species